GACAAACGCUGGCGACGUGCUUAAUACAUGCAAGUCGAACGGACACACUUCGGUGUGUUAGUGGCGGACGGGUGAGUAACACGUAGAUGACCUGCCCUAUAGUGGGGAAUAACAGCCUGAAAGGGUUGCUAAUACCGCAUAAGCUCUUACAUGAGGGUGUAAGAGGAAACCUUCGCAAGAGGGGCUAAAGGAGGGGUCUGCGGCGGAUUAGCUAGAUGGUGGGGUAAAGGCCGUACCANGGCGACGAUCCGUAGCUGGUCUGAGAGGACGGCCAGCCACACUGGGACUGAGACACGGCCCAGGACUCCUACGGGAGGCAGCAGUAAGGAUAUUCCACAAUGGGCGAAAGCCUGAUGGAGCGACGCCGCGUGCGGGACGACGGCCUCGGUUGUAAC
rnacentral:rRNA from 1 species